AUAUCUAAUAAGGCUUGAAGUUCCGGGGUGGGUUAAGCCGUACCUUCCCUCGGUAGGGGGGGAANNACCUGGGUGUCGUGUGAUCGUAUCUGAGACACUGUGCAAGGCGGCUAACUGGAACGAACCUGACGGUGAGGGACGAAAGCCAGGGGCGCGAACCGGAUUAGAUACCCGGGUAGUCCUGGCCGUAAACGAUGUGGACUUGGUGUUGGAAUGGCUUUGAGUUGUUCCGGUGCCGAAGGGAAGCUGUUAAGUCCACCGCCUGGGAAGUACGGUCGCAAGAUUGAAACUUAAAGGAAUUGGCGGGGGAGCACCACAACGCGUGGAGCCUGCGGUUUAAUUGAAUUCAACGCCGGACAUCUCACCAGGAGCGACAGCUGUAUGAUAAUCAGGUUGAUGACCUUAUUUGACUAGCUGAGAGGAGGUGCAUGGCCGCCGUCAGCUCGUACCGUGAGGCGUCCUGUUAAGUCAGGCAACGAGCGAGACCCAA
rnacentral:rRNA from 1 species